rnacentral:tRNA from 1 species
GCCUGGCUAGCUCAGUUGGUAGAGCAUGCAAUUCUUGAUCUCGGGGUCAUGAGUUCAAGCCCCAUGUCGGGCU